GAGGAUUCCUCUCUGCAGAGUUCAGUUACUCACCAAUCAUCACUGCCCAAGGAGGAUGCUUUUCUGAGAAAUAUUCUAGAUGACUUGAUUGAAGGAGGCUCCACUGUGAUCUGAGCCAGAUAUGUUUACCCUAAGAGGACUCACGCUUAUCAUCCAGCACAAUGGUGUCCUCUUACUAGAAUUAGCAUCUGCUGGAUCACUGACUGCAUUUCCACAGAACACAGAACAAAGCGGUUAAGAUCCAGGGCAUUGAGCCACGCCUUAAAUCGAAGCAUUGUCCACCUUCUAACCCCAAGCAGACACCAAGAGGGAGCCAACAACAGGGAUCCUGAGAGGCAAAGGGAGUCCAAGGAGCUAUGGGGAGAACUUUCCAUCUUUGGGGAUGAGAAUGUGAAGCAUCAAUUUAUGUGAAAACUACUGCUUGAUUAAAGACAAGAUUUUUGAAAGCCAUCCUGUAAAACACCCUGUCCCACACAUUGUUAAAGAUCUGGUACCUGAAACCACAGUGCCGAAAGUAGUCAAGUACGACUAUGCCUGAAGCCCAGAAGUGUGGUUUUCCACAGUGAGGAAGAUUUGCAUUGUGAAGCAGAUGUCAGAUAGAAAAAGCAAAACAGAAAUAUGAAGACAUUGUAAGAAUUUUGGGGUGAUUUCUGACCUGCUCAGUUUCCAUCAGGGCAUCCCAGGGUUUUUUGCCUUCUCAAUUUUGAACAGCAUAGCAUUUAAAUGAUCAUUUUUGUUUCUCUCCGCUGCUCCCCAAUCUAAACAACAAAAGAAGGAAUUUAACCUCAUAUCCUCGCUCUGAAAUUAGCUCUAUUGUCAAAAGAUGACAGCUGUAUCCUGAUUUCAAGAAUUUCAUGUUGGAAUAAAACAGCAUUUUUGAAACCAUUGUGUUAUUUCAAACAGAUCUGUAAUGGUCCCUGAGCAAACCAUUUUCAGAAGACUUGGGUGAGAUCACGUGAUGAUGGAGAAGGUCACCAGAGCCAGGCACCUUGUCCACACACAGGGCUUCCUUCCUCCAUGACUUAACCCAGAGAUGUAGACGGCGGGGUCAACAUUAAAUACCACAAACAGGCAAAAGAGCUUCAGACAGAAGGAUCAUCUUCCUGAAGACAAAAUAAUCAUCAUCCUUUGAGGGCAAAGUGGGCAACGUUAUGGGUAUCUUUUGUUUUGGAAUGGGACUCUACACUAUGGGAUUUCUAGUGGAGAGGACAGUUACCAGAGUCAGCACUGGAGCAACUUUUGCUUUUAUAAUCAGAAAAAAGAAAUCAAAGUUAAUUUAGAAAGGAAUUGUACUGCUUUUGAGGAGCACAAGCUUUGGAUACAGAAAGACCUUGAAUUAUAGCCUGCUUUGAACCUCUACGAUCUGUGCAGCAUUGGCUAAACAUUUCUUAGACUCAGAUCUUCAGUUUCACAUCUUUUAAAAGGCAUAAUAACAGAAUGCUUACAGGUUUACCUUGAAAAUAGCUGAGCCUACCUUACGGAGUGCUGGACGUGUGGUAUGUGUUUAGUGCAGGCCAGCUCCCCUCCCCAGUUCAACACAUCCUGAGUGGUAUCCACUGACAUUGAAAGACCAAAAUCAGAUCUUUUUGAGUCUCAUCAAUUCUAUCAAAAAAACCCUCCCCCUUGUGCUCUCAACCUAGGAGGGUCAAGCCAGUGGAAUGGUAAUCAUCUUGUGUGAGUUGUCAGUGCUCUCCUAAGCAUCUGUUACGCAGGAUCACGCUCUUAAGUUUGCCAAAAAUUACCUCAUUGAUAAUGUCUGCUGGAGAUGCUUAGGCAAAACUUGAAAUAGAAAGAUAGUCUUUUGGAAGACAAUUCCCCACAAGUGUAACCCCAAAGAAUGUUGGUUUGGUGACAUGGAACAGCUGGAAAAGUAAGACCACAUCGUUCAAAAGCAUGACAGUACCUCUGCAAAUGAGACGAGAGCUAAAUAUGUGUCUCAGAGAUAGGAAGCUAAAUCAGAACGCAGCAAGAAGACAGCACACAUUCGAGAGAGGAAAAAAUGUGAAAUCUGCUUCUGGCCAUCAGAGGAGCUGAUGCAAUCCCGGCUGACUCGGGGGACAGCCACGGUGCCAGCUACAGAGGCCACAUGGCUUCUAAUGAGGCCAGGCCCAGUUGUAGCUCCGAAGAGUGGGUGAGCCAGCCAAAUUUCACCCAAGGACAGAAGCAGCCUUAACAGCUGUUGACAAGCACUGGCUACCAUCUAUGUGUCAACAAUUGUGUCAUGAGUUUGAGAUGGGCCGACAGCACGUGGAACUCAAAGGUGACUAAGGGAGAAAGGAAAGUAAAUCAAUGAUCAGAGUCCAGAGAGCUACAUGCAGUGCAACCCAUGGUUUUAUGGGAGAACCGACAGGGGCACCUCACUCUGGAAGGAACAACGCCAGGAGAGGCUUUGAGGUGCCGAUAAUGUCCAGGAACUUGUUUGGAAUUGAGCCUUGAUUCUGAAAAGAAAGUAUCAGAGGGCAGCAUUUGAACUGGCAUUUAAGGUGUCAACCAGGGGGAAUUUGGUGCCGACCAGUAAAAGGGGAGAAUCAAAAACAGAAGCUCCAUCACCAGGGACAGGGCCAGACUCCUGACUAGAAACUCAGUGGAUGUGCUGAAUCAUUCGGAUACUUUCCAGAAAAUUAUUUUACCUACUCAGAAGGCUGGGCAUCAGCCAAAACUGUCUGGAAAACCACAAGGAAAGACAUUUCCAUGAAGUAACUAGAGUUUUGGGCUUCUACUCUAGAGGAAUAUAAGAGGAACUUUCUUUAAAGAGUAUGCAGGUGGUUCCUUUUAAGCUCACCUGUCUGGUUUUUCAAACAGAUCAAGGGGUGAUGGCAGGGAAACGUCUCCCCUGGAAAUCUCACCCCUCCAUUUGCUAAAGAGAAGGAGCUUCAAUCCCUUGACAGGAUGAUGAAACAAUAAUAAACUGAUGUGACCAAGUCUCAUGCCAGCAGUCCUACCUGUGGCCCACCCUUCUCGUGGCCAACAAUGGCUUUUCUUAAAUAAAUAAAAAUCAAGAUUUGUACCACUCCUGCUGUAAGCUCUUCAGUGGCUCAUGGAUGAAUGAACAGGAUCACCAUUGGCACACAAGUCCCCCCACAGAUCACCUACUCAUCUUUCCACCCCAGCUUUUGCCAUUCUCUCCCCAUCCCACAAAUCCAUUGCCAUCCAAAGAUAAGAAAGAUACCAGAUAGGGCUUCCCAGUUGCAGCAGAGUGGACUGUCUUUACACUGGAGGGCUAUUCUUCCACAAAGAAGUCUUCUCCCCCGUGGGAAGGGAUUGGAGUACUUCUCCUAGGCACUAUGUGAGCAGAUGGUUGAGAAAUGAGCUAGCCCUUGAGCUUCUGCAGCAAGGGAGGGUCCCAUCAUGAGAGCAGAUGGUAUGGGAAAUGCACCAGUUUGGAAUUGGGAGGAACAAGUUUCAGGCCUGACUCAGAUACAGAUACUUGCCAUCAUCAGUAUGCCCUUGAAUGAACUAUAAAGUGUCUCUGAACCUCUGUUGUCUCCUUUGCAGUGUUGAGCCAAGGUUAUAUACCACACAGGGAUUGAGGAAGAGGAAUUAAGGCAGCGUACAUGGAAGUGGCUGGCUCAGUCAUCACUGGCUAAACGCUACUUGAAUUCCAUUCUAAAACUCCACAUAGAAAGGCAAUUUGACAAAAUUUGAUCAUCCCUUCACCCCAAUUAUCACCCCGUGAACUUUUCUUCCAUUUAUCACCCUUGGAUUUCGUAGCUCGGCACACACAGUCUUUCUCCCUCUCUCACUUCUUUCUUUCUCUCCUUUUUUCUUCUUCUGUUAAACCUAAGAAAUUCUAAUGCUGAAGAGGGUUUUCUUAAGGUGAUUCUCCUGGAAAAGAUGACUCUUUAAGCAAAAAUUCAGACUUUCUCUAGAGUGACCGAGACAUGUAGGUGGCGGUAGCAAUACAGGCUGACCUUCCAGCAUGGUCCUGGGAACCACAGGUCAGCUCUGCUGCAGAUGCCCAGACAGCGUGUCUCUUCCUGAAACAAAUCGACUUCCACAUGGCUCUUCUGAAGACUAAGAUGGCCACGUCUAUCUAAUGAACCCAUCCUGCCACCUCCAUUUGGGUCCUGGAAAUGGACCGAGCUCUUUUGUGGUUCCCUGUACAUUUCAGCGUGCAUCUUUAGCUAUGAGAGGUCAUUUGCUGCCAGUUCUGUUGGCUUUAAUGAGUCUCCUGCCUUGGACCUGGAGAGAGAAGUGGGAAAAUGUGAUUCUCAUGCCCAGGCCUGGCCUCCCUGAACUCACUUUUCCCAUUAAGCUUUGACACUGGACCAUGCCUUUGUUGGCAGAGGAGGUUUUUAUGGAUCUUAUGGGGGAUGCACAAUGGAA
rnacentral:lncRNA from 1 species